rnacentral:rRNA from 1 species
CCAAUAGCGUAUAUUAAAGUUGUUGCAGUUAAAAAGCUCGUAGUUGAACUUCGGGAUCAAUGGAUUGGUCAUGCCGUUGGUAUGUACUGGUCAUAUUGGUUCUCACCUUCUAAGGAACCAUAAUGUCAUUCAUUUGAUGUUUUGGGGAAUUAGGACUGUUACCUUGAAAAAAUUAGAGUGUUUAAAGCAGGCAUACGCUUGAAUACAUUAGCAUGGAAUAAUGAAAUAGGACGUUUGAUUCUAUUUUGUUGGUUUCUAGGAUCGACGUAAUGAUUAAUAGGGAUAGUUGGGGGCAUUAGUAUUCAAUUGUCAGAGGUGAAAUUCUUGGAUUUAUUGAAGACUAACUACUGCGAAAGCAUUUGCCAAGGAUGUUUUCAUUAAUCAAGAACGAAAGUUAGGGGAUCGAAGACGAUCAGAUACCGUCGUAGUCUUAACCAUAAACUAUGCCGACUAGGGAUCGGAUGAUGUUAUUUUUAAUGACUCAUUCGGCGCCUUACG